CAGUCGCCGCGGUAAUACAGAGGGUGCGAGCGUUAAUCGGAUUUACUGGGCGUAAAGCGUGCGUAGGCGGCUUUUUAAGUCGGAUGUGAAAUCCCUGAGCUUAACUUAGGAAUUGCAUUCGAUACUGGGAAGCUAGAGUAUGGGAGAGGAUGGUAGAAUUCCAGGUGUAGCGGUGAAAUGCGUAGAGAUCUGGAGGAAUACCGAUGGCGAAGGCAGCCAUCUGGCCUAAUACUGACGCUGAGGUACGAAAGCAUGGGGAGCAAACAGGAUUAGAUACCCCUGUAGUCCCUGUCUCUUAUCC
rnacentral:rRNA from 1 species